rnacentral:rRNA from 1 species
GACGAACGCUGGCGGCGUGCUUAACACAUGCAAGUCGAACGGAAAGGCUCUGCACUUGUGGGGUGCUCGAGUGCCGAACGGGGGUGUAUCACGCGAGUAACCUGCCCCUUACUGUGGGAUAACUCCAGGAAACUGGGGUGCAUACCCGAUAUGAACUCCUUCUGCAUGGGGGUGGUUGGAAAGUGUCGGUGGUUGGGGAUGCACUCGCGGCCUAUCAGCUUGUUGGUGGGGUAGUGGCUUACCAAGGCUUUGACGGGUAGCCGGCUUGGGAGGGUGACAGGGCACAUUGGGCCUGGGGUGCGGGCCAGACUGCUACGGGGGGCAGCGGUGGGAGAUUGUGCACGAUGGGCGGAAGCCGGAUACAGCGACGCCGGGUGCGAGAUGACGGUCUUCGGGUUGGAACCCUCUUUAGCCUGUGAAGAAGCGUGAGUGACGGUAACGGGUAAGGAAGCAACGGCUAACUACGUG